rnacentral:tRNA from 1 species
UCCCUGGUGGCUCAGAUGGUAAAGCAUCUGCCUGCAAUGCAGGAGACAUGGGUUCGAUUCCUGGUCGGGAAG